UGCCAGACUCCUACGGGAGGCAGCAGUGAGGAAUAUUGGUCAAUGGGCUUACGCCUGAACCAGCCAAGUCGCGUGAGGGAAGACUGCCCUAUGGGUUGUAAACCUCUUUUGUCAGGGAGCAACGCCGGCUACGUGUAGCCGGACUGAGAGUACCUGAAGAAAAAGCAUCGGCUAACUCCGUGCCAGCAGCCGCGGUAAUACGGAGGAUGCGAGCGUUAUCCGGAUUUAUUGGGUUUAAAGGGUGCGUAGGCGGUAUUUUAAGUUAGUGGUAAAACGUCGGGGCUUCACCUUGAUUGGCCAUUAAAACUGGAGUACUAGAGUACAGACGAGGUAGGCGGAAUAAGUUAAGUAGCGGUGAAAUGCUUAGAUAUAACUUAGAACCCCGAUAGCGAAGGCAGCUUACCAGACUGUUACUGACGCUGAAGCACGAGAGCGUGGGUAGCGAACAGGAUUAGAUACCCUCGUAUC
rnacentral:rRNA from 1 species